GAGUUCGCGGGAGAGUAAGUUAUUGCCAGGGUUUUUAUUUUAUACUUUAAAUCUUGAAUUUAUUUUUUAAAUGUUUAUAUUAUUUGAAUAAAACAUUCAAAUAAUAUAAAAAAUAAUAUAUAUAUUGACAUGGAUUAAACAAAGAUAUAUAUUAUUCUAUGUUGCAUAAACAAAUUGGCAAAAUAGAGAUGGAAGAUAAAAAUAUGGUCAAAGUAAUAAGAGUCUAUGGUGAAUGCC
rnacentral:misc_RNA from 1 species